UAAAACACAAUGAAAAGAAGAGUAACUUUAUUAAAUACUUCAGAGAAUCUCUGGUUGGUGAAAAGAGAUAGUUACUAAUAAAGCGAAUAUCACUUUGAGUGCCAUAAUGAAUUUUAGUAGUUAUUGGUGGGUUAGCCCAUUACAGCUAUGUGUAGUUAAAAAAACAGCUACAUACCGAGUUUAUGAGUGCGAAUUCAUAUUGAAUAUAAGGUGGUAUCACGCUAAGCGUCCUUUAG
rnacentral:ncRNA from 1 species